GACAUUAUUAAUGUUUUCUCAUUCCCAUUUUAUUGUUAAACUUUAAUGAACUAACCGUUACUGAUAUUUCAGAGUAACAGAACAUAUUAAUGGCCUACAGCUGUAUUUAAUAGUGAGCAAAAAGUAAAUUAAAGAUGUGUCAUCCUUUACAUUAUGUAGCUUUUAUGUAAAAUAACCUCCUUUAGGUGAGAGACAUUGUUUUUGUCUAUCCCAACUCCCUCAUUCUGCUCUAUAUUCAGACAUUGUGUGGUUUUGUCAUUUGUUACCUCUUUC